rnacentral:misc_RNA from 1 species
GGGCAUGCCUGUUCGAGCGUCAUAUAAACCCUCAAGCUCUGCUUGGUGUUGGGUGUUGUCCAGUGGACUCGCCCUAAAUUUAAUGGCAGCCGGCAAUCGGUGUAGAGUGCAGCACAUUGUUCUCUUACAGAUGCGCCGUCUUACCAAAAAGAAGCCCAUUUUUUGACCUCGGAUCAGGUAGGGAUACCCGCUGAACUUAA